CUCCACUGCCUUGACCUCCAGUAAUUCUCCACCAAACUCCAAACUCUCCUUUUAUCCAUCUCAAAUCUCACUUGCCCUAACUCUGCAACCUCAUUCUACAACUCCACUCUCUCCUUUCAACUAUACAUCAUGGCACCUCCUAAAUUUAAGCACAGAAAGCGCUCCCAAUUUCAACCCUAGCACACCAAACUGAUCCGAUACCUCCAAAAAUGUUACAGAACUGCUGAAUACUGCUGGAGAAAGUCUCACUCUGCAUCUGACUUCCUCCGCUAUAAAUUUAUGCUGCGCUCCUACAGUUUGGCUCUUUCCUUUGGAAAAGUAAACUACUUCAACACUUUCAUAAGCUCACUGUCCCACCAACCCAAAUGCCUAGUUCACACUUUUAAUGCACUUCUUUGCCCUGUUGCUCCCCCUUCUCCUACCACCUUAUCCACCACACACUUUGCAACUCACUUCACUGAGAAGAUAUUUCCAAUCUGGGAAUAGAUCUCUAAUAACUCUCCCACCCCUACCAAUACUUCCCCCAACCCCACUCCCUCUGUUCUAUGCACAUUCGCACCCGCUACAGCACAAGAGGUUUCUGCUCUGUUCCAGUCCUCCCGUCCCACCACCUGUUCCCUCGAUCCUAUUCCCUCAUAUCUCAUCCGCACUCUGUCUCCCUCUUUUGCUCUCCCUCUCACUAAAAUUUUCAAUCUCUCCCUUUCUCUCCCCUCUGGCACAUUUCCUUCACCCUUCAAACAUGCAACCAUAAACCUGAUUCGGAGAAGGCCCAACCUUGACCCCUACUCCCCGUCCAACUACCACCCUAUCUCGCAACUGCCAUUUACUUCCAAGAUCCUUGAGAGAGUUAUGUAUGCGAGAUUGACAGACUUCUUUGAAUCCAACUCUCUGCUUGACCCACUUCAGUCUCGAUUCCACACGCAUCACGCUGUCGAAACGGCUGUGACCAAAGUAUCCAAUGAUUUCAUCACUGCUCAAUCUCGCAGCCAUUACUCUGUCCGAAGUCUCUUUGAUCUUUCUGCUGCCUUUGACACUUGAUCAUCAACAGCUUCUUCUCAUUCCUCGUAAUCUCGGUCUACGGGUGUGACAAACUACCUUUUCCCCAAGUGAGUUUGCCACGAGUUCCUGGAGGAGCCUGCUUGUCAGCCUCCUGCCCACCGACUAUGGACCCUGUAGAAUGUGAUGUAAAAUUCUCCGUUCAUGUAUUUGGACUGUAUGGUUCGGGAACUGAACAGCUGCACGAACUGGAGACCACCCUGGAGCUUGUUAAGCCUAAUUGAUACUUUGUAGCAAUUUCCACCACAGCGUUCGUCUGGGUGGCCGCCAUUUCUAUGGACGACCAUGAGGUGGCAGCCAUCUUGUUCACAUGAACACAGGCAGCGGUGUUUGGUCGUUGAGUUCAUGGAACUAUUUUCGGACACUGAAACUCCCGAACACCCCUGGACUUCCAUAAUCACCUGCGUUCGGUUCUAGGCAAUCUGCCUUUUGCUCUCUCCUGGUGCUCCUCCUACCUCUUCCAGCGCUCUUUUAGUGUUUCUUUCUCUGGCUCUGCCUCUUCUCCCCAACCUCUCUCUACUGGCAUUCCCCAAGGCUUUGUUGUGGUCCCCUACUGUUCUCUAUCUAUACUACCUCCCUCGGUAACUCAUUAGCUCCUCUGGCUUCCAUUAUCAUUAAUAUGCGGAUGACACACAAAUAUAUCUGUCCUCUCCUGAUCUCUCUCCACCUAUCUUGACUUGUGUCUCUGACUGACUUUCUGCAAUUUCCAACUAGAUGGCUGCUUACUUCCUUAAACUCAACCUGUCCAAAACAGAACUUCUGGUUUUUCCUUCCUCAAAUAAUGCUACUCCCGUGUCGGUCUCCCUCCAAGUCAAUGGCGCUACCAUCACCUUUAUCUUGCAGGCCUGCCUAUGUGUUCUAUUUGACUCCGACCUCUCCUUCACUCCUCAUGUCCAGUCAAUCGCAAAAUCCUGCCACUUUCAUCUAAAAAACAUAGCUCUCAUCCAUCCCUAUUUAACGCUGGACAUGGCUAAGGUGCUGUUCCAUGCCAUUUUUCUCUCUUGCCUUGACUACUGCAAACCCUUUCUCUGUGUUCUUACAUGUUCCCAGCUUUCACCAUUGCAAUCUAUAUUGAAUGCGGCGGCAAAGCUCAUCUUCCUGUCCACCCACACCUCCCAUGCCUCUCUCGUCUGUCACUCCCUAUAUUGGCAUCCAGUAAGAUAUAGAGUUUAAUUUAAAAUUCUGGUGCUUGCGUACAAGUCUCUACAUAAUACUGCUCCAACCUACCUAUCCACCCAAAUACACAAGUAUGUCCCAUCUAGGCCCCUGCGCUCUACUGAAGGCCUACAUCUAUCCUGUGUCUGUACUCCCACCUCUGAUGCUCGCUUUCAACACUUCUCCAGGGCUUUUCUGUGGAUCUCCCCUGCCUUCUAUGUUAGACUUUCACCCAGUCUCCAUUCUUUCAAAAAAUCAUUGAGAACUCACUUCUUCAUGAAAGUGUAUCAAUUAAACUAAUAGCUUUUCAUCCCCGCACCCUUACUCCUCUCUUGCAUAUGUCAAAAAUAACCUACUAAGCCCUUAGUGAAAACU
rnacentral:lncRNA from 1 species